rnacentral:rRNA from 1 species
AUUGAACGCUGGCGGCAUGCCUUACACAUGCAAGUCGAACGGCAGCACGGGUGCUUGCACCUGGUGGCGAGUGGCGAACGGGUGAGUAAUACAUCGGAACAUGUCCUGUAGUGGGGGAUAGCCCGGCGAAAGCCGGAUUAAUACCGCAUACGAUCUACGGAUGAAAGCGGGGGACCUUCGGGCCUCGCGCCAUAGGGUUGGCCGAUGGCUGAUUAGCUAGUUGGUGGGGUAAAGGCCUACCAAGGCGACGAUCAGUAGCUGGUCUGAGAGGACGACCAGCCACACUGGGACUGAGACACGGCCCAGACUCCUACGGGAGGCAGCAGUGGGGAAUUUUGGACAAUGGGCGAAAGCCUGAUCCAGCAAUGCCGCGUGUGUGAAGAAGGCCUUCGGGUUGUAAAGCACUUUUGUCCGGAAAGAAAUCCUUGGCUCUAAUACAGUCGGGGGAUGACGGUACCGGAAGAAUAAGCACCGGCUAACUACGUG